rnacentral:rRNA from 1 species
GAUGAACGCUGGCGGCGUGCUUAACACAUGCAAGUCGAACGGAAAGGCCUCUGCUUGCAGGGGUACUCGAGUGGCGAACGGGUGAGUAACACGUGGGUGAUCUGCCCUGCACUUCGGGAUAAGCCUGGGAAACUGGGUCUAAUACCGGAUAGGACAAUGGUUUGGAUGCUGUUGUGGAAAGUUUUUCGGUGUGGGAUGAGCUCGCGGCCUAUCAGCUUGUUGGUGGGGUAAUGGCCUACCAAGGCGUCGACGGGUAGCCGGCCUGAGAGGGUGUACGGCCACAUUGGGGCAGAGAUACGGGCCAGACUCUUACGGGGGGCAGAAGUGGGGAAUAUUGCACAAUGGGCGCAAGCCUGAGGCAGAGACGCCGCGUGGGGGAUGACGGCCUUCGGGUUGUAAAAUCCUUUCGCUAGGGACGAAGCGUUUUUGUGACGGUACCUGGAGAAGAAGCACCGGCUAACUACGUG